GCCUGACUAUACUGAUAAAAAUCCAUUCAUUGACUCUUGGGGCUUCUAACUGUACAACAUCUUAUCCAGUCCCUGGUCAAUAUGUUACUGUGCUCCUCACACAGGGGACCUGCCAGAUUAGAUAUUCAGGAUUCAUGGCACUCAAAAAUAACCUGAUGGGUAAAUCAGGAGGCAGACCCCAUAUUCAUUCCAGUUAAAAUCCUGCUCAAUUUUGCAUACACUUCUACUCACAGAAAUUAUGCCGUAGUGAACUCUACGACAAAAAUCUUAAAUCUUUCCUUCAAGAGUUAAUGUGCUGGAAGAACUGGUGUGAAGACAGGAGCAAGCAGAAGCAGAGUCUGUCCCUGUUAUCUAAAAUCAGGGAAGGAAUUGAGCUGAAGAGAAAACCAGGAAAGUUCAUAACUUUUAUUACUAGGAUCAACUCUUUUUCCUUCUCACCACAUUUAAAAGAAACCAGAUUUUUAUGAUGUGGUUGAGAUGAACCUCCAAGACCGUUUCAAGCCUGCUGAGCACCCAGCAAUGGACAAAGCCUCAGUGGAGUACACAGAGCUCUGCUAAAUAUUUCUUCUCUUUCCUGCAGAAUGGCCUGCUUGGUAUGAAAUAUAACAGGCUGAAGGCCACGAGACCACUUUGCCACUUUAGAAUAUAAUUAGUUUAUCAUCACUCAGCAAAGCCAGCUGCUUCCAUACAAACCACUGCCACUCCCCCAAACCCCCACACACCCCAAUUUGCCCAGGAGGACCAAACUGUGCCAACAUUUCUGAAAUCAUUGUCAGGCACUAGAAGCUCACACCCUGUGUGUCAUCCAAGGCCUGUCUCUCCAUCAGUAUAAUAAAUACCUCAUGGGAAGUGUUCUGCUGCUCAGAAGGCAUGACAAAUCCUGAGUCACUCACACCAUUUCUUUUAGUACGCAAGUAUUUGGGUAUUGCCUUUUCCCCUGAAGGUCUCCCUUCUGAGCAUAGCUUGAGUCAAACUAUUUUGACUUAAAAGAUGUGAGACCAGCUUUGCUGUUAAUAUGCUUCCUCAAAAUGUGACCACCAUUCUUGGGGUCUUACUUGUGCUAGUUUUUGUUCAUGCAAUGAAAUAAUAUUUCAUCUUCUUUUCUAUAUUUCAAUAUACUGAAAUGUAUUGAACAACCCCAUGUGGUUAAGGGAAACCAUACUCUUACCUACUAUGUUUAGAAUUUUAAAAAGGGGAAAUUUAUUUCAGUGCAAUAGAACUGCUGCUCAGAGAUUUAUAAUGUGGUCUGAUGGACAGCCACACACAAACCAUGCCGUUAUCUUCCCAGCUAAGCCAGGCAUUUGGGCUUUUCACAGCAGAACAGCAAUGGUAAUUGAUUGCAGGUGUACCAGGCAGCAAGUAGCACUGGGAUAUUUCACUCCUUCAUCCUGCCUCAAACAGCACCACGUCAGCAGGAAGAUGCACUGGGCUGGUCUCUUUGAAGGUACUAAACUCAUGACAUGUUUGGAAAACAACAAACUCAGAACUUCCUGGAAGAUCUCAUUUUCGCUACUAUUUCUUCUAUGACUUAUGAAGGUUGCAACUUUUCCUUUCUCAAAAGGAGGCUACUUUAUUUAGAAAGAUGCAAAUAAAAGUUUAGAUUUGUAAAAUGUAGAUGUAGAGAAGUCUUGGGCAUCUGAGAGAAAGAAAAGGAAAGGGAAAGGGAGAAGUAUAGGGAGUUUUUGACAAGGAUUUUGACAGUGGGGUGAGAGGAAAUUGUAAUGGAAAUCAGCUUUCACAUAUGUAAAUUGUGUAAGGUCCACUUGAUUCUUCACCUUUAUAGGUACUUCUUCAUGGAAUAAAAGAACCAAUGCUUUGGUUUGUUUAAGAAACAUAACUGACUUCAUUUAGGGACUAACAUCUCACUUGAAAUAAAAAUCUAAAUUGUAAUCAAAUAUGCCAUUCAGUGUAAUGAAAUUAUAAAUAAACUUUGUUUUAUCUUAAGA